rnacentral:rRNA from 1 species
AUUGAACGCUGGCGGCAUGCUUUACGCAUGCAAGUCGGACGGCAGCACAGAGACGCUUGCUUCUUGGGUGGCGAGUGGCGAACGGGUGAGUAACAUAUCGGAACGUACCGAGCAGUGGGGGAUAACUAAUCGAAAGAUUAGCUAAUACCGCAUAUCUUCUGAGGAAGAAAGCAGGGGACCAUUUGGCCUUGCGCUGUUUGAGCGGCCGAUAUCUGAUUAGCUAGUUGGUGGGGUAAAGGCCUACCAAGGCGACGAUCAGUAGCGGGUCUGAGAGGAUGAUCCGCCACACUGGGACUGAGACACGGCCCAGACUCCUACGGGAGGCAGCAGUGGGGAAUUUUGGACAAUGGGCGCAAGCCUGAUCCAGCCAUGCCUCGUGUCUGAAGAAGGCCUUCGGGUUGUAAAGGACUUUUGUCAGGGAAGAAAAGGGCGGGGUUAAUACCCCUGUCUGAUGACGGUACCUGAAGAAUAAGCACCGGCUAACUACGUG